GCAGGACAUACGGUCGCGGCAUGGGAAACCAUGACGAGGAAAGUCCGGGCUCCGCAGGGCAGGGUGCCGGAUAACGUCCGGCGGGGGAAACCCUCGGGAAAGCGCAACAGAAAAGAACCGCCCCGCCGGUACAAAAGACCGGCGGGGUAAGGGUGAAAAGGCAGUGUAAGAGACUACCGCCUCACUGGUAACAGGGAGGGCAUAUGCAAGCCCCACCCGGAGCAAGGUUAAAACGGAGCGAUACGGCUGCCCGCCGUGCUCCAGGUAAACCGCUUGACCCGUCCGGUAACGGACGGGCUAGACAGAUGACCGUACACGACAGAACCCGGCUUAUCGUUCUGCCU
rnacentral:RNase_P_RNA from 1 species